AGACGAGAAGCUGCGAGUGUGCAUGGACCCCAGGAAAAUCAAUGAAUGCUUGAAGCGCGAGCACUACGAGAUGCCGCGACGAGAAGACAUCGAGGCUGAAAUCGCGGGAGCGAAAAUUUUUUCUCGACUCGAUGCUAAGUCAGGCUUCCAUCAGAUACCGCUCGACGAAGAGACAUCUAAAAUAUGUACAUUUUCGACUCCUUUCGGGCGAUAUAGGUUUUUGAGACUGCCAUUCGGAAUCGCCUCGGCCUCCGAAGUCUUCCAAAAAACCAUGAGCCAAAUAUUUGACGCCAUCCCAGGAGUGCGCGUUUACGUAGACGAUAUUCUAAUAUGGGCGCCCACAAGGAAAGAACAUGAUGAAAGGCUGAAAGCUGUCCUGGAAGCAGCACGCAAUUCUGGUCUAACACUGAACGCGGAAAAGUGCGAAAUAGGGGUGCCGAAAAUUUCGUUUUUGGGUGACGUGAUUUCGGAAGAAGGCAUCCAGCCAAACCCCGAUACUGUGAGAUCGAUGCUUGACAUGCCAGCACCAACCGAUAGGCUAGGAGUACAGCGAAUGCUAGGCGUCGUCAAUUACUUCGGAAA
rnacentral:lncRNA from 1 species